GCCCAGUAACGGCGAGUGAAGCGGCAACAGCUCAAAUUUGAAAUCUGGCCCCCAGGGCCCGAGUUGUAAUUUGCAGAGGAUGCUUUUGGCGCGGUGCCUUCCGAGUUCCCUGGAACGGGACGCCAUAGAGGGUGAGAGCCCCGUCUGGUCGGACACCAAGCCAGUGUAAAGCUCCUUCGACGAGUCGAGUAGUUUGGGAAUGCUGCUCUAAAUGGGAGGUAUAUGUCUUCUAAAGCUAAAUACCGGCCAGAGACCGAUAGCGCACAAGUAGAGUGAUCGAAAGAUGAAAAGCACUUUGAAAAGAGGGUUAAACAGUACGUGAAAUUGUUGAAAGGGAAGCGUUUAUGACCAGACUUGGGCCCGGUGAAUCAUCCAGCGUUCUCGCUGGUGCACUUUGCCGGGCUCAGGCCAGCAUCAGUUCGUCGCGGGGGAUAAAAGCUUCGGGAACGUGGCUCCCUCGGGAGUGUUAUAGCCCGUUGCAUAAUACCCUGCGGUGGACUGAGGUACGCGCUCCGCAAGGAUGCUGGCGUAAUGGUCAUCAGCGACCCGUCUUGAAACACGGACCAAGGAGUCGUCUUCGUAUGCGAGUGUUCGGGUGUCAAACCCCUACGCGUAAUGAAAGUGAACGCAGGUGAGAGCUUCGGCGCAUCAUCGACCGAUCCUGAUGUUCUCGGAUGGAUUUGAGUAAGAGCAUACGGGGCCGGACCCGAAAGAAGGUGAACUAUGCCUGUAUAGGGUGAAGCCAGAGGAAACUCUGGUGGAGGCUCGCAGCGGUUCUGACGUGCAAAUCGAUCGUCAAAUAUGGGCA
rnacentral:rRNA from 1 species